GACGAACGCUGGCGGCGUGCUUAACACAUGCAAGUCGAACGGAAAGGCCCUGCUUGUUUGGGGUUCUCGAGUGGCGAACGGGUGAGUAACACGUGAGUAACCUGCCCUUGACUUUGGGAUGGCUUCAGGAAACUGGGGCUAAUACCGUAUAGGAGCUCCUGCUGCAGUGUGGGGGUUGGAAAGUUUCGGCGGUUGGGGAUGGACUCGCGGCUUAUCAGCUUGUUGGUUGGGUAGGUGCUUACCAAGGCUUUGACGGGUAGCCGGCCUGAGAGGGUGACCGGCCACAUUGGGACUGAGAUACGGCCCAGACUCCUACGGGAGGCAGUAGUGGGGAAUAUUGCCCAAUGGGCGGAAGCCUGAUGCAGCAACGCCGCGUUCGGGAUGACGGCCUUCGGGUUGUAAACCGCUUUCGCCUGUGACGACGCGUGAGUGACGGUAAUGGGUAAAGAAGCACCGGCUAACUACGUG
rnacentral:rRNA from 1 species